UACCAUGCAGUCGAGCGGAGAUGAGGUGCUUGCACCUUAUCUUAGCGGCGGACGGGUGAGUAAUGCUUAGGAAUCUGCCUAUUAGUGGGGGACAACAUUCCGAAAGGAAUGCUAAUACCGCAUACGUCCUACGGGAGAAAGCAGGGGAUCUUCGGACCUUGCGCUAAUAGAUGAGCCUAAGUCGGAUUAGCUAGUUGGUGGGGUAAAGGCCUACCAAGGCGACGAUCUGUAGCGGGUCUGAGAGGAUGAUCCGCCACACUGGGACUGAGACACGGCCCAGACUCCUACGGGAGGCAGCAGUGGGGAAUAUUGGACAAUGGGGGGAACCCUGAUCCAGCCAUGCCGCGUGUGUGAAGAAGGCCUUAUGGUUGUAAAGCACUUUAAGCGAGGAGGAGGCUACUGAGACUAAUACUCUUGGAUAGUGGACGUUACUCGCAGAAUAAGCACCGGCUAACUCUGUGCCAGCAGCCGCGGUAAUACAGAGGGUGCGAGCGUUAAUCGGAUUUACUGGGCGUAAAGCGUGCGUAGGCGGCUUUUUAAGUCGGAUGUGAAAUCCCCGAGCUUAACUUGGGAAUUGCAUUCGAUACUGGGAAGCUAGAGUAUGGGAGAGGAUGGUAGAAUUCCAGGUGUAGCGGUGAAAUGCGUAGAGAUCUGGAGGAAUACCGAUGGCGAAGGCAGCCAUCUGGCCUAAUACUGACGCUGAGGUACGAAAGCAUGGGGAGCAAACAGGAUUAGAUACCCUGGUAGUCCAUGCCGUAAACGAUGUCUACUAGCCGUUGGGGCCUUUGAGGCUUUAGUGGCGCAGCUAACGCGAUAAGUAGACCGCCUGGGGAGUACGGUCGC
rnacentral:rRNA from 1 species